CUUCAGACAUUGAAUUGCACGACUUACUCGUGACAAGCUUGGAUAAGCUUGCAGAGAGACGCCUGUAUCGGUUAUGACGUACUGAGAUAGCACGUAUUACGUCCAGCAGGCGGUAUAGUACGUGCAGCAUAUCGAUACUGGCGUAAGCGUCGCAGCUGUUGUAAGAAAGAUGUGACUCCCAGAGCUACCUUGACCUGCAUUUUACUGCAGCUAGAGUACGUCAGAGGGGGUAGUACACACGUGUAGCAGUGAAAUGCGUAGAGAUGUGAGGAAUACCGAUGGCGAAGGCAGCCCCAUGGGAUAAUACUGACGCUCAUGCACGAAAGCGUGGGGAGCAAACAGGAUUAGAUACCCUGGUAGUCCACGCCCUAAACGAUGUCAACUAGCUGUUGGGGCCUUCGGGCCUUAGUAGCGCAGCUAACGCGUGAAGUUGACCGCCUGGGGAGUACGGUCGCAAGAUUAAAACUCAAAGGAAUUGACGGGGACCCGCACAAGCGGUGGAUGAUGUGGAUUAAUUCGAUGCAACGCGAAAAACCUUACCUACCCUUGACAUGUCUGGAAUUCCUAAGAGGUUGGGAAGUGCUCGCAAGAGAACCGGAACACAGGUGCUGCAUGGCUGUCGUCAGUUCGUGUCGUGAGAUGUUGGGUUAAGUCCCGCAACGAGCGCAACCCUUGUCAUUAGUUGCUACGAAAGGGCACUCUAAUGAGACUGCCGGUGACAAACCGGAGGAAGGUGGGGAUGACGUCAAGUCCUCAUGGCCCUUAUGGGUAGGGCUUCACACGUCGUACAAUGGUCGGGACAGAGGGUCGCCAACCCGCGAGGGGGAGCCAAUCCCAGAAACCCGAUCGUAGUCCGGAUUGCAGGCUGCAACUCGCCUGCAUGAAGUCGGAAUCGCUAGUAAUCGCGGAUCAGCAUGUCGCGGUGAAUACGUUCCCGGGUCCUGUACACACCGCCCGUCACACCAUGGGAGUGGGUUUUACCAGAAGUAGUUAGCCUAACCGCAAGGAGGGCGAUUACCACGGUAGGAUUCAUGACUGGGGUGAAGUCGUAACAAGGUAGCCG
rnacentral:rRNA from 1 species